AGGUGUCGUCUUUCCUAAACAGGGGAACUUUGUGCCACCAACUCUCUACCUAGUAUUUGGGGAUGACCAGAUAAUAUCUGCAAGGUACCUACCUACUCUGCACAAGAAGUUUCUGUAAAAUUUGGGAAGCCAAAGCAAAGCUGGAAUGAUCUCCUGUAGUUGCUGAUUUGUGUUUCCUUUUAAGCAAGUUACACUUUUUUAUGCUCCCUUUUGUGGUUUUCAUAUUGUCUCUGGCUGCUGGCAUUCAGAGCAUUCUCCAUCAGUCAGGCUUGCUUUGUGCACUCUCAGGUAACCUUAAAGGUGACUGUUCCUUUCUCUGCCAGUGUUGGCUCUUGCCUUGUUUAAGGGACAGAAUUCUUAAUUUAAAGCCCUGAAGCACAGCACAAGGUUUUGGAGAUGCUUUCCAAUGCUUAAAACUGCUUUGUCUGGAGUUGGCAAGGCCCUCGUUAACCCUUGUCACCCGAGGCUUUGUAUUUGGCUCUGUUCCCUUUGCUGAGAAGUAGCAGCGAUGUGGAAAUCGAAGGCCUUUUAUAAUGCCAGACAGCCUUUGCCAGGCUACAGGGAUGUCACCAGUGUCUAAAGAGAUGACAUGGGGAAAUACAUAAAACCAGAGGGGAAAAUAGAUGGCCGUGUGUCUCAUUAAUUUUGGUUUUAAUGGUGUGUUGCUUUGAGGAGAUGUCGCAGCUGGGCAAAGGGGGAGCUGGAUGCUGUGGCCAGCAUGUGUUGCAUGAAUCGGUCACACUGUUGGGCAGCAUUACAGAAGUGACUCAAACUUAACACAGGUCCUGGCUUCUUUUUAUCAUUUUUCAUUAAUGUACAAAGUUCAGAUCGUUCUCAAAGUGAGGCAAACUCUUUGCUAAUUAUAUGAAAGAUCCUGCCAGGCUCUCAUGUGGAUAAAGUUGGGGUUUUUUUCUUCUUGAAAACAGGAAGGUCAGGGAAAUGAACAGCCCUGCUCAGAUUUUCUGGAAGGUGGUCUAAUCCUUAGGAGCAGUCAAAGGCUGAAACUCUCACUUGUGCGGUUCCUAGGAUGGCUCUUUCUUACUUCCAAAGCACGCAGGGAGAUCUUGCUCCUGUCACCUGAGGGGCUGUCUUACAAGGUGCAAAAUCUUUACCUUCUUUGUGUUACAGCUGCAAAUCCCCAGUCAGGUCUAGGGCAGCAGAGCCAAAGCACACGGCUUGGCAUGCUUGAGGCAGCAGGUGGAAAGAACAGGAGAUGGCAGCAAGCAGGAAUAUGGCAUAACUGAGAAGUGCAGGGAUCAGUAUGUUGUCUCUUAAGCUGUUGGGUUUGAUGGAGGCAUUUAGUCAAGGAAAUACUUGGUACAUCUAGCUGUCCUCCUGGCUUCUUAAAAGAUAAUUUCCUAUCACUUAAUCUGCUGACCCAAAACUGGAAGAAUGCAGGGUGUAAAUGAAAAUUAUUGGCGGUUAUCUAGGGUUUGGAACCACUUUGUUUCAGCAGACGUUCUGCUUGAAGUAGGGGUUUGUAGAGUUCUCGCUUCUGUUUAGGAUAGGUGCAGAAGGCUACCAGCAUGAAAUACCAAGUGCUGCUUGAAUCAAGCUUGUGCUUCAAAGUGAAAAGCUAUACAGUUAUAAAAUAUUUCCCUGUCUCAGUCUAGUGUCACAAGACUAAAAUUUCUCUUGAAAUACCUGAACAUUCAGUAACCAUCUAUCUCCAUGUCUCUGAAUCAUACCUCUCUGAAGCUCUUUGUUGCAGAGGAUUAUUUCAUGCCAUCUUUGUCUAAUGAGUUUCUGUGUUUAGGAAGCCAACAAGGCUUCACAAGUGAAAGCAUCAAGUGGCUCCCUCUCUGAUGUUUUCUUUUAAUGCUCAACAUAUUUGUAGCAAUUCUUCUGUUCCUCUCCAGAAUGGAUGCACGUUACCCUCAGUGUUUACACUGUAAGGUUAUCCCUUUAAAGAAUUCCUGAGGGAAGUUCAAAAGGGUUUUUUUUCUUUGAAAGAUUCAGUGUCUCUUUUUGUGUGUAUGUCUCUUACUUGAAAGAAGGGAAAGGGAGGGGGGAGUGAAAAAAAAGUGCUUUAUCUGAAAAGAAUCACAUCAGCUUCGCACUGAUAGAAGCCGCUGUCAUCUCUUAAACGGCUUAGCACAGUCAAAAGGCAAGAGGACUUAAAACAGUGUCUUACACAGGGAUCGAUGGGUGGAACACAUAACUCGUAACUGCAAAAAAAAAAAAGAAUGGUGCUUAUUGCUGUUAAAAGUCCUGAUUGUUGGUAGAACAUUUUCCUUAACUUGAACACAUGUAAAAAUGUAAGAACCUAAUUUUUACGCUCAAACUGCCGGAAUGCAUUAGCUGACAGGAGCACAAUCAACUAAACCUUGCUGUUUGAUUUACAGAGUUCUGACAGCCACUCUAACCAGGGAAACAUUUUCUGUGGGAAGAAGGAGAAUUCUCUCUAUUUGACAGUAUUAUGUAUCAUACUUGAGGGAAGAAAAGGGAUGUGCGUCACCCAGAAACAGGAAGGAGGUAAAAU